AAGUGCGCAAGUCACUUUUGCGGAACAACUACAAACCAAAAUGAGCAGUUUUCAAAACAAAAGCAUGGAGUUCUAAUACAAACUUGUUCACAUAAAGGUUUUCAAGAGGAAUCUGUGAGUGUAAAAGUGCAGUGGAAGCUACUCUGUUAAAUACAGCCGCUAAUCUAGCGUGUACUGCAAUCUGUGGAAGGAUUAUAUUUUCGGAACCUCUAGACCUAAACUGGGCCCUAG